rnacentral:rRNA from 1 species
UACGUGAGGGGCAAGCGUUAUCCGGAUUUAUUGGCGUAAAGGCGAGCGCAGGCGGUUGCUUAGGUCUGAUGUGAAAGCCUUCGGCUUAACCGAAGAAGUGACAUCGGAAACCGGGCGACUUGAGUGCAGAAGAGGACAGUGGAACUCCAGUGUAGUAGCGGUGGAAUGCGUAGAUAUGAUGAAGAACACCAGUGGCGAAGGCGGCCUGUCGUGGUCUGCAACUGACGCUGAGGCUACGGAAAGCAUGGGUAGCGAACAGG